UGACCAUUUGUUUGAGGAAGAAAAGAUGCAGCCUGCAUUUUGAAAUCUGGGCAGAUGCUUAAAAAGACCUUGCUCUCCAUUCAGACAACAGGAAUGCCACCAGAUGUGACUUAAACAUGUCUGCUUUUCAGCUGUUUAAAUGUGAGCAAUUCCUCCCGUCACUAGCCCACUGCAAGGGACUGUUUUUUCAGGGUCUUUCAAUCCCAGGGCUGAUUCACAUCACAGGUAUUCCCAAAAAGCUCCACAAAUCAACAAUGAAAUAAACCCAAUGCCAGACCAACUUGCACAUGCCGGCGGGCCGAGAGGAUGGGAGGUCCAGUCAGGGCACUGUGCCUCACCAUCACUUUCCACUACAGAGAAGCUCUCACAGAAGUGAGCAUGAAAAAAAGAGAAGAAGAGGGGAGGAAAAAUGAGAAGAGACAAGUUUCUCUCUGGGAGAAGCAAUUCUAGUCCUGAAUUCUCAACUGUGCAUUCCACCUCAGAAAGCCAGUGACCGCCUCUGCUGAGCACAGGGUGACAAACUGGGCUGGAUCCAGGCUGGAGCCAGGCAGUGGGUGGCAGCUUCUGCCUCAAUCUUUCUGCAGUCUCCCUUCCCCAUUCCAAUCACGAUAAAUAUAUUUAUACUUACUUGAUUAUGUCAGCCAGACAAUACUCCCCUAAUUGGC
rnacentral:lncRNA from 1 species